UGGACAGUGUUAUGUGGCCAUCGUCCCUUGCAGCCCUCACCUGUUAUGGAGCCGGCAGGGGGCCGGGGGCCAGGUGGGUCUAUACUGGGCGUGGUGAGUGAUUUAAGAAUCCAAGUCAGUCACUGUCUUCAUUCUCAGCCUUCAGGGAGAUGUCAGGCCUCUGUUUGAGAGGAGUUUCUGGAAAAGUGUUCUCUUCUGAGAUGUUGCUGUGCGAAAUGAAGGGCUUUCCCUUUCCAGAGGCCACGGGAGAGGGUGAGCUAUGGUGGCCAUGGGGGCUUCCAGGCUGCCGCAGGAAGAGAGCAGAGCUGGCCUCACUGUCGACUGAGGGAGCUGUAGCCCUGGGGUCGGGCCACCCUGAAAUUCCACCUGCAUCCAGAGCCCCGUCAUACAGACUGAUACAUUUUGGCAUUGUUUAGACCAUCUCGAGUUGAGUUUUCCGACAUUUGACGGCUGAACUUGCAUCCUGAUUAGGUCGUCACAUGAAGCUGUUCCCUGGGGAGAGCGGGGUGGAGGGCAUGAGGGACCGUGGAUGAAGGAUGUUGGAUUCUGUGUCCGCAGCUCCCCCUGGAGUUGGGCGCGGUGGGCGUGGCACGCUGGCGACAUUUCACUGUGGCUGAGCCCAGAGAGGCUUCCCAUGUGCUGGCUGCUGUCCGCCAGCACCUUGAUCUCAGACUCCCCACUCCAGACUGAGAAGUCAAUGUCUGCUGUUUGUAAGUGGCCCAGGCUGUGGUCUGUUUGUUACAGCAGCUCGAGCUGACUACCACACUCCCCACAUCAACCAGUACGCUACAUUGCCUCUGAAGUCUUGUCGCAAAGCACCUCCGUGCUCAGGCAAAUGCACCGUUGGCCACGUUAGCGUCGGGCCUCCCACGGUGCCAGAGCUGGCAGAGGCUCUGCAGACGCUGAGCGCCUGAUGUUGGAAUUUGCACAGGAGCCCACCCUCCACACUGCCUCACACUUGGCGGCUGUGAAAUGAAAGGAACGGGUCUGGCUCUGAGGAAGGGAAAUGUCCCCGUUGCCCCACACUCUAAUGUGACUGGAGCAACCCACUGAUGCCCCCAUUCAGCCUCGGGGACAAAUGCACCCAAGGAACAUCAAGCUGGUAUGGGACCCGGUGGGGCUACGGUUUCGGGGCCGGGGCCUCCUGGCUGUUGCUUUGCUUUCUGCUUUAACUCCCCUCUGCCUUGUGUCCUCCCUCCCACUUCCGAAGUACUCCCCAGAUUCUGUUGUGGUCACAGGAGCCUUGUCCCUGAUCACGGGCCCAUCGUUGUCGUCUGCUCCUGGCCACAGAGGCCUGGGGGCCCAGCUGCCUUGGCGCCUCCAUGGAGGAGCCCUCCCACAGCCCCUUCCCCAGGACCACACGUCACCAGUGCUCCCCUGACGCCUUGGCUCUUCUCUUGUCUGCGGGAUCUCACAAGAGGACACGGUCUCUGGGCCCCAGUCUGGCCCAGGCACUUUGCGCGGCCCGGCCUCGCCCCUCGGCAGCCAGACUCCAGGGCCCGCGCGGGAGGAGAAAGCUCCUGCUAGUCACACUGCCCAGGGUGCGGGCGGAUGAAUCUUCCCAGACCGGCGCGGGUCGCAAGGUUGGCCUGGCAGGGAAGAAACUGAGCAGGCCCAAGGACCGGACUCCCAGUCGGCAGCCCCGUCUAGGCUUUAUCACCCGUUUUCUGCCAAACAAAGGCCCUGCCCGCCCUGGGAGCUCCCGCUGCUGCUCCAUUGAAAUCUCAAGAUGGUUCCCUAUUAAUCACUCCCUUUGGUGCCUCGGAGGCCGAAAAGAGUCAAACAAAACCUCCUUUCUAAGGAGGAAGAGCGUUGCAGAGGCCUGAGCAGAAAGAUCCCCCCACUGCUCUCCAGUAUAACACUAACAAGAUGCUGGGGCCUCCCGGACUCACACAAACAAACGAGACUCUCUGCCUGGCUGCUGAGAGGAUGUGCGAUGUGACCAGUUCCCCCAUGUGCCCCACAAGGCUCCAUGCAGGAGGCGGGGCCGGCGAGCGAGCGGUCUUGCCAGUAUGCAGACCCCUUCGUUAUUUUAAAAACCAAAAAAGACCCAAUUAAAUGAUUUUUUUUAAAGCAGACACAUACUAGGAAGGUGGGAGAGGGAAAAAAAAUUCCAUUUCUCUCCCUCUCCUGACAUAACCUUGAGUCUCAACUCCUGUGUCUGUCUUUUCUUCGGCUGCCUCUGUUCUGCAUUAACCAAGAAGGAAUACCGCAUUAUCCCUUAUUCUGUAAAUAUGAAGCUGGGCUUCUCUUUUUAGACAGACACCCCAAGGCCAAGCAGCGAGCCAUCAUUCACCGAGACAUGUCUUCAUUUCACAGGGAACAGGCCUGUUCUCUGUGGGCAGCAUUUGGAUUGUCCAGUUGCAGAGAGAAAUGGCUUUUUUGUCCAGACGCUGCGGCCCCUAUCAGGCACGAGGAGCAACUGUCCUGGAUUUUUAUGCCUCUGCAUGGAAGCCCAUUCUUUUUCAUAAAAAUUUAAUUAAAAAAAAAAAGGAGAAAGAAAGAAAGGGGGAAAAGCCGGCUUAAGGAACACUGGAGUGCCAUCCGUUCGCAUGAGGGCAAAAAUCCAUUCAAAACAAGUGCAUCAUAUUAGCUUGGAAAAUCGGACUAAUAAAGAGACAACAAUUCAUUGGAAAGGCGUCAUCCUUGGCCCAGCAAUAGAGGGAGCAUACUUCAAAGUAUAGAAUUUGGCACACCUCGGAUACAGCGGCCGUCUUGUGAAUAUAAAACAGGUUUGGUGCAGAGGACAGGAAGGAUCGGGUGGGGGAGACACGUAGCGUCAUUGCGCUGGGUGAUUAUUAGGGUGCUUCAACCCAAGGGGGCAGACGCUCUCCUCGCAAAAAUAAUACACCCGAGAAACAGAUUAUCCGGCUUGAUUUGUGAUGGGCAAGGCCUCCUCGCCCCUUAAAGAUUAACGGAAUUAAACGACUGGAACGUACCCAUGUUCGGAGCAUGGACAGUCCAACCUAGCCCACGCUGCGAUCAGCUAGCAGGGAGUCCUGCCCGGACAGUUAAAAAGUACUUCUGCAACCUCGCUGUGGUGAGGUUUUGUGUUUUUUUUUUAAUUAAAAAAAUGACACUUUUAAUAGGAGAGAUGAUUACGUUAAUGGUUCUCCAGUGCUUCCUAAGGAUCCAUCAUACCAGUUAAGGGAGGAAAUCUCCGGCACAGCAGGGGCCAACUCACCAUUAUUCCAGCGCUCAGGCACUUGAUGGCUCAUAUUUUUGAAAAAUGCCACUAAUAAUUAGAGAGUUUUAUGUUUCGCUUUAUGGUUUGUAGCACAAAUCAAUGCACAGGGCUCCCCCCGACCCCCCAUACACACACAAAUCAGACACGUUCCUCCCACCCCAUCCUCCUCGAUACAGGCUUUCUCUCCCCCCAGCUGAAAAAAAGACCAGAAGGUGGCUAAGCCUCUGACCGACCCUCACAGUGCAGCACGUGAGAACGGUGAGUCAUGGGGGCACUUAGGUACCCCACUCCCCGCUUCCCCCCACCAUAGUCCUUCCCAAGCACAGAUUUACGGUGUUUUGCAAAAAGUCAUUGAUCGAUGCAUUUACUCUGCAGUUAUUUAUGAUGUCAACUAAGAACUUUUGAUGACAUGGGGAAAUACCAUGUAAAGUGAAGUAAUGCGGAAAAGGUAAGCUAAGAGACAGUGUGCGUGCACACACACGUGGGUGCGUGUUCGCGUGCACAUGUGCGCUCGGGGAAAUGCGCCCAACUAUUGAAAGUCGUCACUGGUGAGAUUAAGCAUGCAACUAGUUUCUUUUUGUAAUUAUUUUCUCAUUUUCUCCAAUGAACAUAUAUUGCAUUUCUAAGCAAUUUUUGCAUUUUUUACAUGCAUUUUUUACAAUGGAAUGUAACAGACACUGGAAUGGCUCUCCGGUAUUCUCCGCCCCCCUCCCAACCAUGCCAUCUUUUUCUGACGAUUGAUUUCUGUGGCCCGUUCAGGUCGCCUUUACUUCAUUCUUGCCGUGCUGGCUUGUUGCUUGGUAACAAUCUUUUUUACUGAUUGCUUAUUUCUCGCAGGCACUCGCCAGUGAUGCUGCUGCGACAUGAUCUUCCGUCCAGGGGUCCAGGGCCAUAAACAAGACCGUCUAACUUCCUCAGUUAUCACACCUUCCACCUUACGAGACGUUUAUUCUAAAUAUCCUUCAGGACCUGCAUUGGCUACUCUUGGCAUGGUAAGAAAAUGCUUGCCAGGGAGGAUUUCAAACCUGCAAAUUGCCAAGGGAAGAGAUCUGCUUCUGGGACUCGUCCGGUUAAUUUUUCACCAGCAGCUUCAGUGGGCUGGGAUGAGACACUUCGAGCCUGAGCCUCCAUCCUUCCAGCUGUCGAACCAGGACAGCACCUUACAAGGCUGGAUGAGAAGGCGAAGCUGCAGGGGCCGUGGAGAAGACUGUGCACAUGUAGGUAUGAGUGAGACGCCGAAAACCCUGAGACUGCGGCCCCAACCCACCCUAUCUGAAGGGUAGCCCCCUGGUUAUAAAUAGAUGUGAUGGCACUUCCCUCCGUUUUUGGCAUCUGCUAGCAAAUCAGAUCGAAACAAAACCCCACAAAUGACUUUGCACAGGACAGAAGCAAAGUAUUGUUUGAAGACGUGAAGAC